CAAUGAACAACAUUCUCACAUAGGUGUUCCUUUUGUCCAGGUGGGAAAGGGCAUCGUGGGUAAAUGAUUUGCUGAUGUCAACGCUGUGAACAUGGUGGUGGUGGGGUUAUAGUAUGGGGCAGGCAUAAGCUACGGACAACGAACGAACACAAUUGCAUUUUAUCAUUGGCAAUUUGAAUGCACAGAGAUACCGUGACGAGAUCCUGAGGCCCAUUGUCGUUCCAUUCAUCCGCCACCAUCACCUCAUGUUUCAGCAUGAUAAUACACGGCCCCGUGUCGCAAGGAUCUGGACACUUCCUGGAAGCUGAAAAUGUCCCAGUUCUUCCAUGGCCUGCAUACUCACCAGACAUGUCAUCCAUUGAGCAUGUUUGGGAUGCUCUGGAUCGAUGUGUAUGACGUCGUGUUUUUAGGUUGUAUUUAUUUACAGAAAACAAGUGAUGGACAACAAUACAGAUAAACAAUUAUUAUAAUAAAUAACAGUGUGGUUGGAAGCACAAGGGCUUGUAUAUAACAUCAACUAAAAAACAAUGUACCAUACAUAAGUACAAAAAGGUAGAAGACCCAGCAGGUUAUUGAUAUAGAUUAGUAUGGUAGUAGACCCAGCAGGUUAUUGAUAUAGAUUAGUAUGGUAGUAGACCCAGCAGGUUAUUGAUAUAGAUUAGUAUGGUAGUAGACCCAGCAGGUUAUUGAUAUAGAUUAGUAUGGUAGUAGACCCAGCAGUCAGGUUAUUGAUAUAGAUUAGUAUGGUAGUAGACCCAGCAGGUUAUUGAUAUAGAUUAGUAUGGUAGUAGACCCAGCAGUCAGGUUAUUGAUAUAGAUUAGUAUGGUAGUAGACCCAGCAGGUUAUUGAUAUAGAUUAGUUUGGUAGUAGACCCAGCAGGUUAUUGAUAUAGAUUAGUAUGGUAAUAGACCCAGCAGGUUAUUGAUAUAGAUUAGUAUGGUAGUAGACCCAGAAGGUUAUUGAUAUAGAUUAGUAUGGUAGUAGACCCAGCAGGUUAUUGAUAUAGAUUAGUAUGGUAGUAGACCCAGCAGUAAGG
rnacentral:lncRNA from 1 species